AUUGAACGCUGGCGGCAGGCCUAACACAUGCAAGUCGAGCGAGCGGCGGACGGGUGAGUAAUGUCUGGGGACUGCCCGAUAGAGGGGGAUAACUACUGGAAACGGUAGCUAAUACCGCAUACUAUCGGAUAACCCAUAUGGGAUUAGCUAGUAGGUGAGGUAACUGCUCACCUAGGCGACGAUCCCUAGCUGGUCUGAGAGGAUGACCAGCCACACUGGGACGGAGACACGGCCCAGACUCCGACGGAGGCAGCAGUGGGGAAUAUUGCACAAGGGGCGCAAGCCUGAUGCAGCCAUGCCGCGUGUAUGAAGAAGGCCCUAGGGUUGUAAAGUACUUUCAGCGGGGAGGCGUUACCGACAGAAGAAGCACCGGCUAACUCCGUGCCAGCAGCCGCGGUAAUAC
rnacentral:rRNA from 1 species